rnacentral:rRNA from 1 species
GUUGCAGGGUAUAGACCCGAAACCCGGUGAUCUAGCCAUGGGCAGGUUGAAGGUUGGGUAACACUAACUGGAGGACCGAACCGACUAAUGUUGAAAAAUUAGCGGAUGACUUGUGGCUGGGGGUGAAAGGCCAAUCAAACCGGGAGAUAGCUGGUUCUCCCCGAAAGCUAUUUAGGUAGCGCCUCGUGAAUUCAUCUCCGGGGGUAGAGCACUGUUUCGGCAAGGGGGUCAUCCCGACUUACCAACCCGAUGCAAACUGCGAAUACCGGAGAAUGUUAUCACGGGAGACACACGGCGGGUGCUAACGUCCGUCGUGAAGAGGGAAACAACCCAGACCGCCAGCUAAGGUCCCAAAGUCAUGGUUAAGUGGGAAACGAUGUGGGAAGGCCCAGACAGCCAGGAUGUUGGCUUAGAAGCAGCCAUCAUUUAAAGAAAGCGUAAUAGCUCACUGGUCGAGUCGGCCUGCGCGGAAGAUGUAACGGGGCUAAACCAUGCACCGAAGCUGCGGCAGCGACGCUGAUGCGUUGUUGGGUAGGGGAGCGUUCUGUAAGCCUGCGAAGGUGUGCUGUGAGGCAUGCUGGAGGUAUCAGAAGUGCGAAUGCUG